UACGGAGGGUGCGAGCGUUGUCCGGAAUCAUUGGGCGUAAAGGGCGCGUAGGUGGCGGGACAAGCGUGCGGUGAAAGCCUGGGGCUCAACCCCGGGUCGGCCGUGCGAACUGUUUUGCUUGAGCACUGUAGAGGCAGGCGGAAUUCCGGGUGUAGCGGUGGAAUGCGUAGAGAUCCGGAAGAACACCGGUGGCGAAGGCGGCCUGCUGGGCAGUAGCUGACACUGAGGCGCGAAAGCGUGGGGAGCAAACAGG
rnacentral:rRNA from 1 species